AUCGCUUCUCGGCCUUUUGGCUAAGAUCAAGUGUAAUAUCGGUUCUCAUCAGUUUAAUAUCUGAUAUGUCCUCUAUCAGGGGACAAUGUAUUAAAUGGAUUUUUACAACAUGUUACAUGUUUGUAAAUAAUUUACAUGUAGACGGUUCAUUGAAGUUUGUGGCAAUUGUUAGAGAGAAUUAAUAGAC
ensembl:snRNA U2 U2 spliceosomal RNA